rnacentral:rRNA from 1 species
UAGGGUGCAAGCGUUAAUCGGAAUUACUGGGCGUAAAGUGUGCGCAGGCGGCGUCGCAAGUCGAGUGUGAAAGCCCCGGGCUUAACUUGGGAAUUGCGCUCGAAACUACGAUGCUGGAGUGUGGCAGAGGAAGGUGGAAUUCCACGUGUAGCGGUGAAAUGCGUAGAGAUGUGGAGGAACACCAAUAGCGAAGGCAGCCUUCUGGGCCAACACUGACGCUCAUGCACGAAAGCGUGGGGAGCAAACAGG